rnacentral:snRNA from 1 species
AUUCUUAUUUGGACUGGUUAAUAGGAAAUCAUGAAGGCCCAUGCCCUCUACUGGUGACUUUCAUUACACUUGGGAAGGGAUCCGGCUUAAGAUCAGCCCAAGUAGUUGAGCCUACAUCAUUAUUUGUGAGAGUGAGAAUCUGCAUUUGUGCGGCCCCCUU